rnacentral:snoRNA from 1 species
ACGGGACAUUAUCUCCAUGCCUAUGACAUCAACCAGAUAGCUGUGGUAAACGAAUCCCGUAGAUAAAUUCUUUAUUGGCACGAAAACUGGGAGCUUAUCAUAUUGAUAGGUGACCGGUACAGAGUGAAAAGAUUGUAAUCCACGUUCUUUUCAUUUUGAAGUCGUGCUACAGUG